UAGGGAAUAUUGAUCAAUGGACGCAAGUCUGAACCAGCCAUGCCGCGUGGAGGAUGAAGGCCCUCUGGGUUGUAAACUUCUUUUAUAUGGGACGAAAAAGGGUCUUUCUAGAUCAACUGACGGUACCAUGUGAAUAAGCACCGGCUAACUCCGUGCCAGCAGCCGCGGUAAUACGGAGGGUGCAAGCGUUAUCCGGAUUCACUGGGUUUAAAGGGUGCGUAGGUGGGUAUGUAAGUCAGUGGUGAAAUCCCCGAGCUUAACUUGGGAACUGCCGUUGAUACUAUAUAUCUUGAAUGCCGUAGAGGUAAGCGGAAUAUGACAUGUAGCGGUGAAAUGCUUAGAUAUGACAUAGAACACCAAUUGCGAAGGCAGCUUACUAGGCGGUUAUUGACACUGAGGCACGAAAGCGUGGGUAGCAAACA
rnacentral:rRNA from 1 species